rnacentral:rRNA from 1 species
GAUGAACGCUGGCGGCGUGCCUAAUACAUGCCAGUCGAGCGAACAGAUGAGGAGCUUGCUCCUCUGACGUUAGCGGCGGACGGGUGAGUAACACGUGGAUAACCUACCUAUAAGACUGGGAUAACUUCGGGAAACCGGAGCUAAUACCGGAUAAUAUAUUGAACCGCAUGGUUCAAUAGUGAAAGACGGUUUUGCUGUCACUUAUAGAUGGAUCCGCGCCGCAUUAGCUAGUUGGUAAGGUAACGGCUUACCAAGGCAACGAUGCGUAGCCGACCUGAGAGGGGGAGCCGCCACACUGGAAUUUAGACAAGGUCCAGACUCCUACGGGAGGCAGGAGUAAGGAAUUUUCCGCAAUGGGGGGAAAGCUGAAGGAGGAAGGGCGCGUGGAUGAUGAAGGUCCUCGGAACGUAAAACUCGGUUAUUAGGGAAGAACAAAAGUGUAAGUAACUAAGCACGUCUUGACGGUACCUAAUCAGAAAGCCACGGCUAACUACGUG